CAAAGACGUAGUCAUAAGAGAAGCCCUGUCUGUGGAAAAGGUUCCUGAAGAGCUGCCUCAGGUACGAAUAGUCCGGCUUGUCGUCGAAGCACAGGGAGCGGCAAAGGUUCAACUCACCAUUUGAUCAGCCAGCAGCAGGACGGUUUUCAAGCUGAACUUGCGGGAGCAGAAGUUGAACAGGUCCUCCAAACUGGGGCCCAGCAGCUCCAUGACCAUCACGUUGUAAUCGCCCUCAGCUCCACACCACUUGAUGGACGGGAUACCCACUGUGGGGAAUAUUUAAGGAUUAUAAUUUCAAUAUUACAUAGUCAAAGCUUGACUGGCCUCUGUGAGCCUCACCUCCUCCCUGCAUCAUCUUGUAGAAUUUACUCUCAAUGUGAAGCUGCGGAUGUUUGGUCUUUACGCAUUCCAGCUUGAUGGCCACUUCCUCUCCCGUGGUGAGGUUGGAACCUAAAGAGGAGCAACAUGAUCAAACUGAAAUUCUAAUAUUGCAUGUUUAUUAGGAGGAUGAGAAGAACAGGGAAACUCACCGAGGUAAAUGUCUCCAAAGGAACCGCUCCCUAUCUUCCUCCCGAGGCGGUACUUGUUUCCCACUCGCAACUCCAUGGCUUUCUUAACUGCUCCAACUGACUGGAACACACAGUCGCUGUGAUUCGUCACCAGUGAUUAGACCUUAAAAGUCCAACCCUGAGGUUCAAGGCUCAAACAUCACCUGUGCAUUUCAAAAUCUUUUAUAUUAGGUUCAUGAAA